rnacentral:tRNA from 1 species
CUGGUGGCGAAGUGGUUAAGCAUUUGGCUGCUAACCAAAAGAUCAACAGUUCGAAUCUGCCAG